ensembl:lncRNA
GGCCGAAAGAGUUCUCCAAUGAGCUCGCCUGCGGACGGAGCGGGGCGGGGAAAUGGCCCGGUGAACGUCUAGGCGGCGGCGGCAGCGCCGACGAGGGGACAGCUGCGGGGCCGUCGUGGUGGGAGGCGUCUCUGAGCCGCGCCAGACUAGCCGAGCCUGGUGGAGUCCGGCCGCUCACUCCUGCUUUCUCCCGGACUCGUUCGUUCCCCCGGCGUCUGUCGACGCCGCUCCGUGUCCCCGCUGGGCACAGCAGCCCGGGCCCUCCACGUCCACGGCCGCUAGCCUGAGGAGGCCCUCCUUCAGCUCCCGCUCUUCCUCCUCGCCCGACGCAGACGACGAGGGCGUGCGCAGCACCUGCGAAGAUGCUUCUAUUUGCAAGAGAUUCAAGUCUCUCCUAUCAAAAACCAAUUUAGACUUACAUUCAGAGGAGACACUUCAAAUGGGAUUGUAGGAAACAUAUGUAUAUGUGCAUAUCUGCAGGAACUGUUUGCUCAAAGAAUUGGCCAUUAUGAAUUUUAGCUACUGCCCAACUGUUCUUCAAGACCUUUUUAUGAAUUCCUACUUUCACAAAGGCAAAUCCGCCCGCCGUACAAACUAUUGGGACUUCCUGGCUGAUUGUGGUGUGGAUGUUGAGACUGUGGAAGAGAAGGGAGAUGAACAUCUGUUGCGAAGGAGGCGCCGGUUAGAAAGGGCAGGGGUGCAGGAUGUAAAAACUCUUAGGACACCGACUGCCAUGCAGACCUUGAUGCUCCUGAUGCAAAAUCAACCCAGGGUUCCUGCAGCCACCGGGGGAUAGAAAGUCCUGGAGAUGGGGAACAUCCUCAGUCUUUUCUAGCAAGCCCAAACUCACCAGCGUCAUCUGUUUAACCGUUCCCUGUUCAUUUUGUUCUAACCUGAAAAUACUAAAGUCGGAUGUCAGACACGCAAAUACGUUUGAGGGCGAUUUUGAGAGAUUCCAGGAGAACUCAAAGCCCUUCAGUCAAUCUAGCUAUCCUGCUUCAUGCCUUAGCGUCCCCAACGCAGCAGAGCAGAGCCCCACAAGAGCCUGGGUUGGGAAACACCCCGCGGGCACCUGGGCUGGGGAUUCCCAGGCGUGGAGCUAGGCAGCUUCAGAAAGCACCCCGCCCGUCCCCCCACCCAGCCCAGCCGCCCAGGCUGCAUGAAGCGACGCCACUGCACCCCCGGCCCUGGCCGCUGUCUCGCUGCGCCGGGGAAGAGCCCGGCUGCAUGAUCCCCCUCCCCACUCUUCCCGCGCAGUCCGGGUGGCCCCCCACCACCCCCCCCUCAGCCUCCGGCAAGGGGACCGAGGGGGGCGCGCGGACCCGCCGGCUGCACCUGCUCCGUCUGCAGCGCCCCCGCUUCCCCGGCUCCGACGCGGCUCCUGCUUCAGCCUCUGCCGCCGCCGCCGCCGGGCCCUGUUGCAGCCCCGAGUUCCUUCCCCGCUGCUAACUUUCUGCGGGGAGAGAGAGGCGCGGAGAGGCCCGGGCGCGCGGUCCGCGCCGCCGAGGGAAGGGGGAGUGCGCCUCGCGCGCGCCUGCAGAGAGGGACGUGGAACAGAGGCGUGCGCUACGCCUGGGGCACCCGGCAAAGAGGAGAUCGUGCCCCCUCCCCCGCCCCCCCCACCACAUUCAUGCUGGAGAGGUUCCCCGCCCAACCCCGCGUGCUUCCCCUCCCCUGGGAGCCUUGGACGCCAGUUUCUCCUUCCCUCUCCUGAUACUUUCAGAGACUUAGAACCCGACGCCUGCCGCCAGUGCCGCCCAACAGGAAGCUGGGGGCCACAAGGUGGUGAGCUCUCGCUUCCCCUUUUCUCAUGGGACUCCAGGCAAACUCGGUCCAUCCGCGACCCGCCCUUCUCCCUCCCUGGACAUCCUCCUGCCUUUGACCCAGGAGGAAUUUCUUGUCCGUACCAGGUUUCCCAUCCCAACUUCCAUCUUUCCAGCCUCCCCAUCUUAGCUUGAAGCUCCUGAUUGGUGGAGCUUCGACACAAACCCCCAAAUUUCCUUGUCCUAGAGCUUUUGCCUCUGUCCCGCCACCGGUUGACUGUGCUUUCUGCUCCAAAAGGAGAGGCUGUCUCCUCCUCACACCCUGAACCACAGAUGCACAUGCGCCCCUUGGGGGCCAUUGACGCUAAAGGAGUUCAGAUUUCCCUGGACUAAAAUAUUAGACUGAGACUAUCAUCGCUCUGAACACCUUAUAAGCAGAGAGAACCUGUGUUGCUGUGUCUGUGCAUCGCUUCAUUGAAUUAAAAAAAAAAAGUAUCUUCUUUGCAGAGAGAUUUCCGUCCCUCACCUCCUUCUCCUGGGGGGAAUGGUAAACAUCAUAAGGCUUUGGAACAUUCAAGACUAGACUUUGCUUCCUGUUUCCUUUUGCUCAGGGAGGUGGAGGAAACGCGAGGCUGGAAUGGCAGGAAGAGGCAGAGCGGUCAACUGAGGCACUCCAGCGAACUCUGCUUCCUGGGGGCAGGGGCUGGCCCUGCAGGCACCUGGCGCCAGUCUUUCCCAGAGGCUGGCUCCAGUGAGUCCUGUUUACCCUGCUAGCCACAGCUGGGUGCCUGGAGGGUCUCCUUUCGCCUACAGGGCUGAUGUGGUUGGAAUCUCCAGUUUUGUUUGAUCACAUAACAGGGACAACAGUUGAAAGAAAAUGUAUAUAAUGUCUAAAUAUUAACUAGAUACCUAGUGCCAAAGAGAGAAAAAAAUGUUACUCCAAUAACGUGAACACAGACUUUUCCCUGAGUAAACAGAAGCUCACGGCUGCUCUCAGCUGGACGUGAGCUUCCUUCACUGCAGCUUCAGCUCAGAUAAAGAUUAUUCCUUUAGAAUAUAUUUUUUAUGGUACACCGGAGACCUCUGAAAUGCAGAGUCUGGUGUCCUGUAAAUCAUUUCGUGGAACUAGGGAUGCUUUUUCAAACACCACGCGACUGCACUCCUGUAAUGUUAAUGGGAAGGGGCCAACUGGAGCUGGGAGCAGCACAGCUUGCCCAUCCCUCCUUCGGCUCCAAGCCCAGCUCUGGGUGGUCGCCCAGGAGGGCCCGGUUGCAGCAAAUAUUGUCACUGCCAUAGUCCAUCUCCCUUUCAAAGCUCAGGCGCCAGGAUGCCCAGCACGUGGUCCAGGGGCCUCCCUACAGUCCCUGCCCAGCUCCCAGACUUCUCUGUGCCCGCUCUCGGCAAUCCAAAUGAACCUGCUCUGUAGCUAGUUUUACUAAAGAUGUGCUUUCAAAUUUGGAAAGGUUUUGAUGAAAUGGUACUAAUAUUUAACCUAGAGGUGGCAAACUGGUAACAAAUUAAGAACUGAAUGUGGCCAGCGCAGCGAUAUUAAGAAGUUUAAAAUGGUUGUGAUGUUGUAAAAUUGAGGACUUUCCCAAAAAAUUUGGCUAUGAGUUUUCUGCUGAAAUACUGGAUCCAGCAACUUUGGGCCCCUCAGCCAGAACCGAGAGACCCCCUGACAUGGAGCAUGUGCCCUGUUCUUCAUGGUGCCCCCCCAGAGUGCCCUCAUACAUUUAGGUUACUUGCCUGGAUGCUGCUAAUGAGGACACUUCCCAGUGUCCCUUCUCCCUCUUGUCCACAGAUAGUCCUACUUAAAUAAGAGACUCUUGAAAGAACGGAACCCCAUUGGUGAAAUGUUAGGCCCCACAACUGAUGGGGAAGAGGUGAUUUUGGGGGAGAGGAGCUUUGUAGAUUUCUCACUUGGGCACUUACCUGUUUUGUUCUCCA